UACGUAGGGUGCAGGCGUUGUCCGGAAUUAUUGGGCGUAAAGAGCGUGUAGGCGGCCCGAUUAGUCCGCUGUGAAAAGUCCAGGGCUCAACCCCUGGAAUGCCGGUGGAUACUGUCGGGCUAGAGUCCGGAAGGGGCGAGUGGAAUUCCUGGUGUAGCGGUGAAAUGCGCAGAUAUCAGGAGGAACACCGGUGGCGAAGGCGGGUCUCUGGGCCGAUACUGACGCUGAGGAGCGAAAGCGUGGGGAGCAAACAGG
rnacentral:rRNA from 1 species